rnacentral:rRNA from 1 species
AUGGCACCAACAUUGAUGAAAAGGAAGGGAUGUCUCAAGUACGUAGUUUCUAACAUGUGUGAAAUAAUGCUGCUAUGGAUUGAGUUUUGUCGCAAAGCUACUGAUGUGUCAAGGUUUACCGUUGUGCCUGCCACAAGGAAGAUGGAACUGGUGAUACUCCCUGGCACAUCCAAGCGAAAAACAGAGACAAUCCCAUCAGGUGCGCCCCAAAGGCCAAAAACGCGCAAGAAAGCUCGGCAAAGCAACAGACUGCAUGAUCCGAGCAUGGUUACCUGGCUCGUGCUUCAUGGUUGCCUUGUUGACAUUGGAGAAGAGGCGCUCCAGCUGCGGAGGCGAGCUACCCGGUGA